GCGGGCUCCGGGCUUGCCCACCUCGGCAGGCGGCGCGGCCCCUUCAGGCGCCGGGCGUCUCCGGCCGCGGCGCAGCCCGGAUGUAGCGGCAGCAGGCGGCCGCAGGAGCCCCCGGCCCGGGAGAACAUGGCGCUGCCAGCGGUGUGAGCGCGGGGAUGAAGCCGGGGAGCGCCUGAGCGCCGCCAGGGGUUCUGCUGAUGCCAUAAACUCCAGGAACACAGAUGAAGUUGUGCAGGAACACCAGCAGAGCUUGGAAAGUGAAUUAAUAGCAAGGUGUUUGUUUACAGUCUUCUGUAAAAUGCUGCUGGGAAUAUCUGGUUCGUUUUUUUAAACCUUCAGUGAUGAUCCAAACAUUGAGAGGCAUCUCAUGGGCCAGCUAUCAAGAGAUACCCUGUUAUGCUGUGGUGGGGCGAAUGAAGGCAUUUUCAACCAUAAACAAGUGAGCGUACAGCUUCGUGGAGAGCUGGAAGAGGCAGUCCAGUUCCUUUUUUCAUAUAUGAAUGAAUGUACUGACACAGAGAAUAGCUGCAUGCAGCUCUGGUUUUGGUUUUUACGUCAUGGAUGUUUGGCCUCAAGACAGG
rnacentral:lncRNA from 1 species